CCUUCGAUAGCUCAGUUGGUAGAGCGGUGGACUGUAGUGCGAACAACACGACUGUGUAGAAAUCCAUAGGUCGCUGGUUCAAAUCCGGCUCGAAGGA
rnacentral:tRNA from 1 species